rnacentral:misc_RNA from 1 species
AACCUAGCACACCUGCGGUGUGUACCUGCGGAGGGAUCAUUACCGAGUUUACAAACUCCCAACCCUAUGUGAACCUUACCAAUCGUUGCUUCGGCGGGCUUAGCCCCCGCGCCCUCGCCGGCGCCGGGAGAAAGGCGCCCGCCGGGGACCCCAAACCCAAUGUUUUUCAUGCAGUAUUUCUGAGUGGCAAACGCAAAAAUAAAUCAAAACUUUUAACAACGGAUCUCAGAUCGGAAGAGC